rnacentral:ncRNA from 1 species
CACUAGGGGAGCUUUGUGAAAUGGCUGAGAAGGUCUGUGACCUGACCCUUAUUACCCGAACUAGAUAAUACUAGCGUGGGGAAGUGUAGUUG